UACGUAGGGUGCAAGCGUUAAUCGGAAUUACUGGGCGUAAAGCGUGCGCAGGCGGUUUUGUAAGUUUUGUCGUGAAAUCCCCGGGCUCAACCUGGGAAUGGCGAUGAAGACUGCAAGGCUAGAAUCUGGCAGAGGGGGGUAGAAUUCCACGUGUAGCAGUGAAAUGCGUAGAGAUGUGGAGGAACACCGAUGGCGAAGGCAGCCCCCUGGGUCAAGAUUGACGCUCAUGCACGAAAGGCGUGGGGGAGCAAACAGG
rnacentral:rRNA from 1 species